AAGACCUUGCACUUUUGGAGCGGCCGAUGUCUGAUUAGCUAGUUGGUGGGGUAAUGGCCUACCAAAGCUUCGAUCAGUAGCUGGUCUGAGAGGACGGCCAGCCACACUGGGACUGAGACACGGCCCAGACCCCUACGGGAGGCAGCAGUGGGGAAUUUUGGACAAUGGGCGCAAGCCUGAUCCAGCCAUGCCGCGUGAGUGAAGAAGGCCUUCGGGUUGUAAAGCUCUUUCAGCCGGGAAGAAAAGGUUGCGACUAAUAAUCGCAAUUCAUGACGGUACCGAAAGAAGAAGCACCGGCUAACUACGUGCCGGCAGCCGCGGUAAUACGUAGGGUGCGAGCGUUAAUCGGAAUUACUGGGCGUAAAGGGUGCGCAGGCGGUUUUGUAAGUCAGAUGUGAAAUCCCCGGGCUUAACCUGGGAACU
rnacentral:rRNA from 1 species